ACCGUAGUUUCAUGAGAGAGAGAAAGAAACAAUAGUGAGAGUAAGAAUGAAUGCUCUGAAAUUAAAGAGACUGUAAUAGAGAGAGAAAGUGACUUUACGAGAGUGUCUGCGACGAGAAGCAAAGAACGAAACAAUAAAAUGUCGUUCACCAAAUUGCACGAACCUCUCAUUUCCUAAGCAUUUUCGCCGCUGCGUUUUACUUUAACCGUCAUCGUUUUCGUUUCCGACACUCGGAAGCAGGAACGGGAUGAGUCGUUUAGUGUUAAAAAACAACGUCUACGACGGCGACAAGCUCGUCGGCGAACUCGACGUCAUUCCGAUGACGCCGUUUCAGGACUUCCGGUUUCCGAACAACGAGAUUCGAAUCCACCACUUCAGUGCCAAAAGCGAGCGUUGCCCUCCGCUCUCGGUUCUCCAAACCAUUGCCGCAUUCAACGUUCGCUGCAAGCUCGAUUCCUCGGUUACCGUUGAUUCGGACCUAACUACCAUCCACGCUAAUUGCUUCUACGAUAUGAAGACGGCGGUGGUGGUGAUUGGCGACGAGGAGAUUCACCUGGUGUCGAUGCCGAGCAAGAGGAAGAAGUUUCCGUGCUUCUGGGGCUUCGCGGUUCCGGUUGGACUCUACGAUGCGUGCUUGGGUUUGCUGAACUUGAGGUGUCUGGGGAUUGUGUUCGAUUUGGAUGAAACUCUAGUCGUUGCGAACACGAUGAAGUCGUUUGAAGAUAGGAUUGAGGCCUUGCGCGUUUGGAUUUCGCGCGAGACCGAUCCGUUGAGGGUUCAGGGUAUGUCUGCUGAGCUUAAGCGUUACCUUGAGGAUCGGUUGUUGCUAAAGCAAUAUGCAGAAAGCGAUUGUGUUGUUGAUAAUGGGAAGAUAUAUAAGGUUCAGAUGGAGGAGGUGCCGCCUAUGUCCGAUGGCCACGAGAAAUUGGUUCGCCCUGUGGUUAGGUUGCAAGACAAGAAUAUAGUCCUAACUCGCAUCAAUCGUGAGAUUCGUGAUACUAGUGUAUUAGUGAGAUUACGGCCUGCUUGGGAGGAUUUAAGAUGCUAUUUAACUGCAAAAGGACGCAAGCGUUUUGAAGUAUAUGUUUGUACUAUGGCUGAAAGGGAUUAUGCUUUGGAAAUGUGGAGGCUUCUUGACCCUGAGGCUCAUCUUAUAGGUUCAAAGCAAAUCCUUCAUCGUGUGAUUUGUGUCAAAUCAGGUUCCCGAAAAUGUUUACUAAAUGUUUUCAAAGAUGGUAUGUGCCAUCCGAAGAUGGCAAUGGUGAUUGAUGACCGGUCAAAGGUUUGGGAAGACAAGGACCAGCCUAGGGUUCAUGUUGUACCUGCCUUUACUCCUUAUUAUGCUCCUCAAGCAGAGACGGCCAAUGCUGUACCAGUUCUAUGUGUAGCAAGAAAUGUUGCAUGCAAUGUCAGAGGUUGUUUUUUCAAAGAGUUUGAUGAGAAUUUAUUACAAAGAAUUGCUGAAAUCUUCUUUGAAGAUGAGAUUGGAAUUUUACCUCACCCCCCGGAUGUGAGCAACUACUUGAUGUCAGAGGAUAUGCCAAAUGGUAAUGUGAAUGCCCCUAUUAGUGAAGGAAUGAAUGGUGCAGAAGUUGAGCGGAGGUUAAACCAACCUGAUGAUAAAUUUUCGGUUGAUGUAGUUACCCGACCUGUGGCAAGCAAUGUUGAGUUCAGACAUGAAACCUCUCCACCAACUUCUGGUAUAAUAUCAAAUGUCACUGGCCCUGGAUCUUCAAGAACACUGACUCCUUCUCAGAAACCUAGUUUGCUUGGACCUCCGAUCAAGCAUGAUGGAAGCUCUGUUGAUCGCGAUUAUGACAUGAAAAAGGGACUUUUAAGCAUGAGGCAUAGUCCGGACAUAAGAGGUCAAAGUUCAGCUGAACCCCCUUUGAUAUCAAAGCCGCCCAUUCAGACGUCACCAUCUAUAAUGCAGCCUUUAGGAGGUGGGUUGGUAGAAGAUGAAACAAGCAACAGAACUCAGACAAAUAAUUGGCCUUCUGCAUCUGCUAAAGAAUCUAAUGUAAUAAAGUCUGAUAAGCAUCAGGCUCAACAGAAAUCGUUUUCUCAUAGUGGCAUAGUUUCACCCCCAAAUGUUGUACUCCCGCAAGCUUCACAACUCAAGCCUGAAGAGGCAACUUCUGUUUCUGAUUUACAGAGGCUGAAUGCUCCAUCCAAGUCUCAACCAUCAGAGGAUGGGAUAUCUCAGAAUCAUGCAUCUUCUAAUAGCAAAGAUUUUCAAAAUGAAGCUGGAAAAUUGAACUUCUUACACCCUCUAUCUAUUCAAGUGCUGCAAGAAAUUGCAAGGCGGUGUAACUGUAAGGUUGAAUUUAAGUCCAUUUUAAGCACCAGCAAAGACUUGCAGUUUUCAGUGGAGGUACUAUUCACUGGUGAGAAAAUAGGUGUUGGUAUGGGUAGGACAAGGAAGGAUGCUCAACAACAAGCUGCUGAGAAUGCGCUUCGCAGCUUAGCAGAGAAGUAUGUGGCUCAUGUGGAGCCUCAGUGUAGAGCUGUUGAUAGAGAAUUUGACAAGCUUUCUCUUGGACCUGACAAUGGUUUCUUGUGGGAUGUGAUAAAUCCAGAAUCCAGUGAACUGCAAAGAGAAGAUGGAUUGCCUAGAGAAAAUGCUUCUGAGGUGGGGUAUUUUUUUAUGCUUUUGGUAGUUGAUUUGACUUAUUUGUUUAAGGAAAUAGGUGAUGCUUGGAUAAGGGGUAUGUGGACUAGGAAGUCCACGAGGCCUAGUGGUUGUAUAGAGAAAUCACAUCGUUUAUGGAAUUGUGUAGCAUCAAUGUGAAGGCUAAAUCACUGAAUGGGGAGUGAACUGGCUUCACGUCUGCUACUGCUGUCUUAGACAGGCUUCUUAAAUUCCUGCUUAAAAGGCUUCUGUUGCUGAGACUAGGUCAUCUACACCUAAUCCCAUUAAUCAGCAAAUGGAUAAGCGUAUCAGCUCCCAGAGAAUGCCUCGUUGUAAUCCAAGUAAACGACUGAAGGAGUGAAAACGUUGCAAGAUAGACUAUAUUUACCAACAGUGCAGCAACUGGAGAAUGGUCCAUUUUAAUUCUUGGGACGGGAUAUAAUCAUUCUGGUCACAGAAGGUUUCGAUGUAAUUUGGUCGUGUAAUAUCUCUCCCAUAGCGAUUAUAGAUUGCCGAGGUAAUUUUCCUUGGCUAAAUUGUUAUAGAGAAGGGCAUUUUUUUUAAUUUUGCCCUACCAUUUUCCUACUUACUUUUAGGAUGUUUGUCUAGCCUCAUUGUCAAUGUUAUAUUAGUUUGAAUAUUAAUUAUAAGAAAACCAUUUGUCCUUUGUAAUUAAUCCGCUUCUGGCGUUUUGGUGGUCGGAUUUGUUGGGGUUAGCUGGUCCCUUCUGAUUGACUGAUUUGAGAUUAUCAAUGUCGAAACAUCGGGUGUCAAUUUC